AUGGUUUACAAAAAGGAAGUCACGCUUGAGGAAAACGUUCAAUUAAAAAAAACACUAGCCCAAUCACUGUAACUCCUGGGAAACUCGGGCUGCAAAUCACAGCACUCGGUCCCCACUGAAAUCAACUGAUUCACAACACCCCGAUUUUGCAUCUCUUUUUGCUUCUGGCCCUGUCUCACCUUCACCUCCCUCAGCCCAGCCAGAUCCAAUGUCAAUUAGUGUUCAAUGCCAAUGCAGGCCAAUGGCAAAUCCAAUGUUUACCUGGAAAGCGAGCUGGAGGAACAUAAGACACAAGGUGUUACAAUGUGAUGGGGUUGUCGAUGACAGGUUAGAGAGGCACAAGGAUCUCAUCUUUAUGCUCCCAUGUACUAGUUAGAUGAAUAUGCUCAGUGCACAUUACCCCUUCUACAUUCAUCAGUCUUGUGCUUGUGUUUAAGUUUUGAAAAUGGCUUUGAAUGUGAGACAAGUGGAGCUGUAACAAUCCCGUGGUAUUCAGCAGCAAAAAAAACCAAUCAGGCUUUUCCAAAAUGGGUAUCUUCUGAGAUCGUGAGCCACAUGGAAGAAUGAGAACUGUCUCACUGGGGCUCGCCAUGUCUACUUUCAAAGUCUGCUCGAAGUGAUCAGAAACUUUGCUGAAUUUGCACAUUAGGAUUGCAGCACGAGCAAGUGGCCAAUUUCUGGUUGGGUGGAUGGAGAAGCCUGAUUCAUUCAUAUGAAAACCUAGGAUAGAAACUUAUGGCCCUGAGGAGACGCUAUCCUCAAAUUGAGUGACUGCUGGCCACGCUGAGGGAUAUUGUACAGCAGGGAGAAUAGUCAGUCAUCCUGAGCUAUGAAGAGGGGAUGUUGUGAACAUCUGUACUGGACUGAUGGAUGGAUUUUUGAAACUCCUUUUAUCAGAGCUCAGAGUGGCUGGUACACACAGCAAAACCCAAAUCAAUUGAAAUGAUUAUCUCUUCUGAAUGGCUCGCUCUGGCUGAUGGAGAUUGAUUUUACAAACUAACUCAUAGAAUUUCCACGGAGUAACCUCAGUUACAUCACCCGAUUCCAAGGGAUUUCCUUAAUUUUGAAACUAUUCUCUGACAUGGAACUUUUGAAAUCUUUCCAGCUACAGGUUCCAGCAGAUUGUAAUAUUGUAAUCAAUAAGACUGUUUCAGGGCUAAAUAUUUUUUAAUGAGUCAUUAAUAAUUUAAGGAUUUUAUUGUUGUCCUGUGUUAUUUGGGAGAGGUUCAAUGUCUCUGCAUCUGGAGUGACACCUUUGCUGUGGGAUCUGAAUCCAUGUUCAUCUAUUGCUCUCUUUCACUGAUGUUUGAUGACUAGCAUCGGAAUGGUGGGCAGACGGCACACUCUGUGCUGUAAAUCUGUAUAACUCUGUCCAUCUGUAUGGUUUUAUGACCCUUGCUUUCCUUGAUCACCUCUCUGCCAUUGUCGAACUUCCACUGCCUCCAAUCCUGCAUGUAUUUUAGAUUCUGUUUCAGGCUAUACAUUUACUGUGUCUUCUCCCACUGCCCAUCCCCUCACUAUGUGCGACUGGCUUACCAGCAUGAUGUUCCCACAUUAUCUUUCACAGGAAUUGUUUCUUAAGUGCAACAGUUCACCUGUUUUCCACUUCGGAGACAAUAUUAACAAUCACAUUCUGCAGCAUUCCUCACCUCCACCUAAAGGUUGGGAGAUUUUGGCAAACAGCAUUUUCUUUUGUCUCUUCACAAUAGAUAACGCAUUAGCCACAGCCAACCAGUUUGUGCUUACAGUGCUCAAAUAUUAAUAGUGCCCAAUUAAUAUUAAUAACACCUCCUUCAACUCAACCAGACAGGGGCCAGCCCUUCUUUAGUUGAGGUCUCCAGUGAUGCUUUGAAAAAUCAGAGUCAAUCUGUCUGCGUGAAAUUUAAACAAAGUUUGGUCAUCAUCUAACUGGUGCAUUUUCCUUUGCAAUGCCUUGACCAAUCAGAGUCUAUUAUUCGCCCAGGUCAGUACAGUAUAAAACGUUUGCUCCCUUUCCAUUGGUGCUUAUUGUGAAUGAACCGAAGUGUGCAAGACAAAAAGCUUUGAUGAAACUUGCCUUUUUUGCAUACAGUUGGACAUUAUUGAACUGUUGUACAUUGUUGUGGCUCGGCCUCUCUCACAAUGCCACCACACAAGGCCUUAUAGAUGAUUAUGGAGGAACAAUGUGUAUUGUGGUUGAUUAAUUAUUUCAAUAAAUAAAGAGAGGACAGAACUGUGAGCAUCGGCCCCUUAUAAAAUGAGCUUUGUAAAGGGUAACAUUGAGGAGCUAGGAAAGGGCAGGAGAGUUAAACAAAUACUUUUCAACAAUAUUCACAUUAGGGCAUUCUUGCAACUUUAAAAUACACAAAUAUAGUCAAGCAGCAAAAAGGGGAGGAAAUAACCAUAACAGGAGAAAACAUACUGUGGUCAAUGAAGUAUUUCAAAAGAUAAAAAGAGAAGAGAGCUGUGAACAUCGGCCCCUUAGAGAAUGAGAUUUGUCAGUGAUAAUGAGGAGCCAGGAAAGAGCAGGGGAGUUAAACAAAUAAUUUUAAUCAAUCUUCACAGUAGGGAACACUUACAACAUUACAAAAAAAUUAAGUAGUUCAGCAGCACAAAAGGGGAGGAAAGAACCAUAAUAUUGAUCAGAAGAGAAAAAGUAUUUGUGAAAAUAAUAACCAUUGACAAAGAAAAUAGUGGUCGGCCGUUUGGUCAUUCAAACCUGCUCCAACAUUUAACACGAUCAUGGCUGAUCAUCCAUCUGUUCCUGCUUUCUCUCCAUACUCUGAUCCCUUUCACCCCAAGGAUUAUAUCCAAAUCCUUCUUAAAUACAUUCAAUGUUUUGGCUUCAGGUGCUUUCUGUGGCAGAUAAUUCCAGAGGUGAGGAAAUUUCUUCUUAUCUCAGUCCUAAAUAGCUUGUCGAUGACAGGUUAAAGAGACACUAGGAUCCCAUCUUUAUGCUCCCAUGUAUGCCCAUAUCCUAAAAGUCAUGGUUCUGGACACCCUGUUUAUUGAGAACAGCCUUCCUCUGUUUAUCCUGUGUAGCCCUGUCAGAAUUCUUUUGUUUCUAUGAAAGACCACUCUUCUGAACUCGAGUGAAUAUAGUCCUAACUGAUCCAGUCUUUCUUCACAUGUCAGUCCUGUCAUCCCAGGAAUCAUUCUGGUCAACCUUCAUUGUACUCCCUUCACAGCCAAAGCAUUCUUCCACAAGAAUAAUGAGACCAAAAUUGCACACAAGAAUCCAGCUAUGGGCUCACUGAGACCUGUGGAAUCACAGAAGGACGUUCCUGCUCCUGAAUCUGAAUCCUCUCGUUAAGAAGGCCAAAAGAAACUAACUUGUGCUUGGGACAUUUGAAAACAAAGUGUAAGUUUUGUGUUAAAUACAAAGCUAAUUUAUUUGCCUUUUACUCAGAAAAUAAAAACCUAUAUUUUCAGGAAAGUCAAUUUAACAUCAGUAGAAACAGACAACAAUGAAAUGUGUUCAUUACCGAACAUAAUUAAUAGCAAAAUGCAACCACUGUGGUUAUUUGUGAAUUCACUCAUGUUUUUUUUGGGGGGGGGGGCAGCAGGGGGGGUUGUCGGGUGUUUGAGUGAAUCCCUUCCCACAUUCAAUGCAGGCGAACGACCUCCCUCCAGUCUGAACAUCACUGGCAUACAAUGAGGUGAAAUGAUCACCUGAACCCAGUUUGAAAGUGAAAGCACUGGAACGGUCUCUCACCUGUGUCAACACAUUGAUGGAUCAUCAAUUGUUGAGGACUUUUAAAGCAUUUUCUGCAAUCUGAACAUUCAAAGUUAUUUCAAUAAUGUGAGCAAGUUCAUGGAGGCUAAUUGUUCAGAAUCUUUAUACCAUUUCCCACAUUCUCUGGUCAGAAUGAACUUGCUCGUGUUUCAGCAGGUACAAUGAUCUGACGAAUCUCUUCCUGCACAUGAAGCAAGUGAACGGUAUCUCCCCUGUGUGGAUGCAUUGGUGUACAGCGAGGUUACAUAUUCAUCUGUACCCAGUCCCAUCAUGAGAGUAUCUUAUUGGGCUCUCAACAGUGUGAACAUGUUGAUGGGACAUCAGUUCUCCAGAACAUUUACAGCAUUUCCUGCAGUCUGAACAUUGAAAAAGGUCUCUCAUUAGAAUGAACUUUCUGGUGUUUCACCAGGUCAGAUGAGUGAAUGAAACACUUCCUACAUAUGGAAUAGAUGAACGGUCUCUCCCCAGUGUGAAUGUGCUGGUGUAUUGGGAGUUUAGAUGAUCGCUUGAACCGAGUCGCACAGUGAGAGCACCUGAAUGGUUUCUCACUAAU